CAAUUUAAAGCUUAUAUAGAAAAGCAUUUCAUUUACAUUGAAAAGAAUUUUGUGCAAACCAAUAUAAAUUGA
rnacentral:tRNA from 1 species